ACACGACUCUCGGCAACGGAUAUCUCGGCUCUCGCAUCGAUGAAGAACGUAGCGAAAUGCGAUACCUGGUGUGAAUUGCAGAAUCCCGCGAACCAUCGAGUCUUUGAACGCAAGUUGCGCCCGAGGCCACUUGGCCGAGGGCACGCCUGCCUGGGAGUCACG
rnacentral:rRNA from 1 species